GGAUAGCUCAGUUGGUAGAGC
rnacentral:tRNA from 3 species